UACAGAGGGUGCGAGCGUUGUCCGGAAUCACUGGGCUUAAAGGGCGCGUAGGCGGACCAUCAAGUCAGGAGUGAAAUCCCCCGGCUCAACCGGGGAAGUGCUUUUGAUACUGGUGGUCUCGAGUGGGGUAUGGGCGUGCGGAACUUCCGGUGGAGCGGUGAAAUGCGUAGAGAUCGGAAGGAACGCCGGUGGCGAAAGCGGCACGCUGGACCCUUUCUGACGCUGAGGCGCGAAAGCCAGGGGAGCAAACGGG
rnacentral:rRNA from 1 species